rnacentral:rRNA from 1 species
ACGGUAACAGGAAGCAGCUUGCUGCUUCGCUGACGAGUGGCGGACGGGUGAGUAAUGUCUGGGAAACUGCCUGAUGGAGGGGGAUAACUACUGGAAACGGUGGCUAAUACCGCAUAACGUCGCAAGACCAAAGAGGGGGACCUUCGGGCCUCUUGCCAUCAGAUGUGCCCAGAUGGGAUUAGCUUGUUGGUGAGGUAACGGCUCACCAAGGCGACGAUCCCUAGCUGGUCUGAGAGGAUGACCAGCCACACUGGAACUGAGACACGGUCCAGACUCCUACGGGAGGCAGCAGUGGGGAAUAUUGCACAAUGGGCGCAAGCCUGAUGCAGCCAUGCCGCGUGUAUGAAGAAGGCCUUCGGGUUGUAAAGUACUUUCAGCGGGGAGGAAGGUGUUGUGGUUAAUAACCGCAGCAAUUGACGUUACCCGCAGAAGAAGCACCGGCUAACUCCGUGCCAGCAGCCGCGGUAAUACGGAGGGUGCAAGCGUUAAUCGGAAUUACUGGGCGUAAAGCGCACGCAGGCGGUCUGUCAAGUCGGAUGUGAAAUCCCCGGGCUCAACCUGGGAACUGCAUUCGAAACUGGCAGGCUUGAGUC